UCGGGAAUAUUGGACAAUGGGCGGAAGCCUGAUCCAGCAAUACCGCGUGUGUGAAGAAGGCCUGCGGGUUGUAAAGCACUUUCAGUUGGGAAGAUAAUGACGUUACCAACAGAAGAAGCACCGGCUAACUCCGUGCCAGCAGCCGCGGUAAUACGGAGGGUGCAAGCGUUAAUCGGAAUUACUGGGCGUAAAGCGCACGUAGGCGGUGGAUUAAGUCGGAUGUGAAAGCCCCGGGCUCAACCUGGGAACAGCACUCGAUACUGGUCAACUGGAAUUUGGGAGAGGUGAGUGGAAUUUCCGGUGUAGCGGUGAAAUGCAUAGAGAUCGGAAGGAACACCAGUGGCGAAGGCGACUCACUGGCCCAAAAUUGACGCUGAGGUGCGAAAGCGUGGGUAGCAAACA
rnacentral:rRNA from 1 species